UACGUAGGGGGCAAGCGUUGUCCGGAAUUAUUGGGCGUAAAGAGCGCGUAGGCGGUCCGAUAAGUCGGCUGUGAAAGUCAAGGGCUCAACCCUUGAAAGCCGGCCGAUACUGUCGGACUAGAGUCCGGAAGAGGCGAGUGGAAUUCCUAGUGUAGAGGUGAAAUUCGUAGAUAUCAGGAGGAACACCGGUGGCGAAGGCGGGUCUCUGGGCCGAUACUGACGCUGAGGAGCGAAAGCGUGGGGAGCGAACAGG
rnacentral:rRNA from 1 species